GGGUUUUGAUGGUAUAGUUAAGUAUCAGCCCCCAAAGUGCUGCUAGUGCAUCAUCCCAUACACUCCCCCCACUGGCUAGCCGUUGUAAGGGCAACAAAAAAUUCUCAAACCCAAGAUGGCCGACAGAAGAGCAGCUCAGGACUUUUUUGCCAGUCCUUCUAUAGUAGGAGACCCUUGCAGAAAAACAUAUUGGCGUGUGAUGAAUGAGAGGAGGAAGCAUGCGGCAGUGAUGGAGUGUGCUGCAGAUGGAAGCAUGUACGUCCACAGCGAGCAGAGGAAAAACUGUCAGUCCAAACCCUUUCAUGAGAGCACAGCGUUCACUUUGUUUCCACCAAGACCACGGUCCUAUGGGCUUUCCUCCAGAGGCUCUGAACCCCAGGGCCUGCAAGUGCAGGGAUUCUGCUGUGCCCUCCAGCAGAGGCCCAGCAGUGGGCGGGCAACACACAGGGUGACUCCACAGAGCACAGGGGGUGGAGAUGGGAGCCUGAUAAUGCUGAGCAGUCUCAAGGGAAGGCUGGAGAGCAGAGCCAAACCAGCAUCAAAGUCCAGGACUGGGAGCAGGCCUGAGAUGACCCCAUCAGGCGGAGCAGCUCCCACUGUGUGCCAUCACAGAGAUCCAGUCAGUGAAACAGCAGGUGAAUGA
rnacentral:lncRNA from 1 species